rnacentral:rRNA from 1 species
AGGAUGAACGCUGGCGGCGUGCUUAACACAUGCAAGUCGAACGAUGAAGGCUGGAGCUUGCUCUGGCUGGAUUAGUGGCGAACGGGUGAGUAACACGUGAGUAACCUGCCCCAGACUCUGGGAUAAGCGCUGGAAACGGCGUCUAAUACCGGAUACGAGCUUCCACCGCAUGGUGAGGAGCUGGAAAGAAUUUCGGUCUGGGAUGGACUCGCGGCCUAUCAGCUUGUUGGUGAGGUAAUGGCUCACCAAGGCGACGACGGGUAGCCGGCCUGAGAGGGUGACCGGCCACACUGGGACUGAGACACGGCCCAGACUCCUACGGGAGGCAGCAGUGGGGAAUGUUGCACAAUGGGCGCAAGCCUGAUGCAGCGACGCCGCGUGAGGAUGACGGCCUCGGUUGUAAACCUCUUCAGCAGGACGAAGCGCAAGUGACGGUACCUGCAGAAGAAGCACCGGCUAACACGUGCCAGCACG